UUUCAUGGUGUAGCCAAAGU
rnacentral:siRNA from 1 species